rnacentral:rRNA from 1 species
AGAGUUUGAUCCUGGCUCAGGAUGAACGCUAGCUACAGGCUUAACACAUGCAAGUCGAGGGGCAGCAUGGUCUUAGCUUGCUAAGGCCGAUGGCGACCGGCGCACGGGUGAGUAACACGUAUCCAACCUGCCGUCUACUCUUGGACAGCCUUCUGAAAGGAAGAUUAAUACAAGAUGGCAUCAUGAGUCCGCAUGUUCACAUGAUUAAAGGUAUUCCGGUAGACGAUGGGGAUGCGUUCCAUUAGAUAGUAGGCGGGGUAACGGCCCACCUAGUCUUCGAUGGAUAGGGGUUCUGAGAGGAAGGUCCCCCACAUUGGAACUGAGACACGGUCCAAACUCCUACGGGAGGCAGCAGUGAGGAAUAUUGGUCAAUGGGCGAGAGCCUGAACCAGCCAAGUAGCGUGAAGGAUGACUGCCCUAUGGGUUGUAAACUUCUUUUAUAAAGGAAUAAAGUCGGGUAUGGAUACCCGUUUGCAUGUACUUUAUGAAUAAGGAUCGGCUAACUCCGUGCCAGCAGCCGCGGUAAUACGGAGGAUCCGAGCGUUAUCCGGAUUUAUUGGGUUUAAAGGGAGCGUAGAUGGAUGUUUAAGUCAGUUGUGAAAGUUUGCGGCUCAACCGUAAAAUUGCAGUUGAUACUGGAUAUCUUGAGUGCAGUUGAGGCAGGCGGAAUUCGUGGUGUAGCGGUGAAAUGCUUAGAUAUCACGAAGAACUCCGAUUGCGAAGGCAGCCUGCUAAGCUGCAACUGACAUUGAGGCUCGAAAGUGUGGGUAUCAAACAGGAUUAGAUACCCUGGUAGUCCACACGGUAAACGAUGAAUACUCGCUGUUUGCGAUAUACGGCAAGCGGCCAAGCGAAAGCGUUAAGUAUUCCACCUGGGGAGUACGCCGGCAACGGUGAAACUCAAAGGAAUUGACGGGGGCCCGCACAAGCGGAGGAACAUGUGGUUUAAUUCGAUGAUACGCGAGGAACCUUACCCGGGCUUAAAUUGCAGAUGAAUUACGGUGAAAGCCGUAAGCCGCAAGGCAUCUGUGAAGGUGCUGCAUGGUUGUCGUCAGCUCGUGCCGUGAGGUGUCGGCUUAAGUGCCAUAACGAGCGCAACCCUUGUUGUCAGUUACUAACAGGUUCUGCUGAGGACUCUGACAAGACUGCCAUCGUAAGAUGUGAGGAAGGUGGGGAUGACGUCAAAUCAGCACGGCCCUUACGUCCGGGGCUACACACGUGUUACAAUGGGGGGUACAGAGGGCCGCUACCACGCGAGUGGAUGCCAAUCCCAAAAACCUCUCUCAGUUCGGACUGGAGUCUGCAACCCGACUCCACGAAGCUGGAUUCGCUAGUAAUCGCGCAUCAGCCACGGCGCGGUGAAUACGUUCCCGGGCCUUGUACACACCGCCCGUCAAGCCAUGGGAGCCGGGGGUACCUGAAGUGCGUAACCGCGAGGAGCGCCCUAGGGUAAAACUGGUGACUGGGGCUAAGUCGUAACAAGGUAGCCGUACCGGAAGGUGCGGCUGGAACACCU